AAUCAACGCUGGCGGCGUGCCUCAGACAUGCAAGUCGAACGAGAAGUCCCCUUCGGGGGAUGGAUAGCGGCGCACGGGUGAGUAACACGUGGGUAAUUUACCUUUGGGUGGGGAACAACAGCCGGAAACGGCUGCUAAUACCGCAUAAUGCAGCGGCUCCUCAUGGAGACAGUUGUUAAAGCGGGGGAUCGCAAGACCUCGCGCCUGAAGAGAAGCCCGCGGCAGAUAGCUAGUUGGUAAGGUAAUGGCUUACCAAGGCGACGAUCUGUAACC
rnacentral:rRNA from 1 species